rnacentral:rRNA from 2 species
CCGCAACGAAGCCAGUUAGGGUAGAACAGGUAACUAGGGCUAAGUCGUAACAAGGUAGCCGUACCGGAAGGUGCGGCUGGAUCACCUCCUUUCUGGAGC